GUAAACCCAAGCAUCUUGAGAUCACCUUCAGCAGAGUGGAGCAACCAAGAAAAGAACGAAGAACACUCUGCCUAUGGUAACAUCUCCGUUUUCAGAAGCUCAGAAAAGUAAGCUGCUUGCUCAAGAAUGGACGGCUUCAAGGUGGCAGAGCUGGAAGUUUCUAACUCACUCACCUCAUACUCAGACCUGCACUGUUUUUCAAGACAGUCAAUAUUUCAGACAAGGAAUCUGAGACCUGGCUGGGAGAAGAGGACUUGCCUAAAGUUAUCCCACACAGCAAAUUAGUUGGAAAACCAGGAUAGUUGAGUAAAUAUCCUGGAGCCCAGCCAAGUAAUGAAGCCAGAAUUCAGAAAGCUGUUUUGGCUAGAUCUUGGAUUUUUACAAUAAAGGGUCUGUAAGGGAUAUUUGUGAAAAAUGUUGACACUUGACGGCUGUCCUGAUUCAUUCAGCUACCUAGGUUAUCUCUGCCUCUCUUUGACUUGUGUUUUGUCUUUUAAGAUGGCAGUCUUGCUCUUUUGCCUGGGCUGGUCUUGAACUCCUGGGCUCAAGCAGUUUUCCUGCUUUAGCCUCCUGAGUAGCUGGGGCUACAGGAGGACAUCACUGUGCCCAGCUCUCUCCGUAUCUUUGACUAGGUUAUUUUACAACCCCAUACGAUAGAAAUGAAGUUAUAGAAAACUGAUAGGAAUACAAAUAAUUAUUAUCCAUGGAAAUGCAAAUUGGAUCUAAUGGAAUGAAACUGAUUUUUUUUCCAGCAGAUAGUGACCACCUUUGUAUCCUUUUGUAAAUUCAUUUCAGCAUUCCAUAUUUGACUAAAAAUGUGUGACACUCCCAAUUUGCUUUUGAAUUCAUUGUAAUAUCUACCAAUUCCCUCAUUAAUUAAUGAGUUAAAUAAAGCCUUUGGCAUGUAUUUAUUUUG
rnacentral:lncRNA from 1 species